UAACAACACUUUUCUCUAAACAAGUUAUUUUCAUCUUUUCAUCAUCAGCUUCUUCCAUCUUCAUCACACUUUGUUCAAUUACCAUCAAACUUCCACUUACUUGUUCAUUUAUUCCACUUCUACUCCUUUCUUCUACAUACAACACAUUUCCUUCUUCUAUUGCUUCUUCACUACACCAGUGAAAGAAGUUGCAGCCAACGAAAUCUUCGCCCCCACCUUGUUGAACGAUAAUAGUCACACUCCCUC
rnacentral:lncRNA from 1 species